rnacentral:rRNA from 1 species
GACGAGCGCUGGCGGCGUGCUUAACACAUGCAAGUCGAACGGUGAAGCCCUUCGGGGUGGCUCAGUGGCGAACGGGUGAGUAACACGUGAGCAACCUGCUCCUGGCUCUGGGACAACCACUGGAAACGGUGGCUAAUACCGGAUACGACCCGCCUCGAUAUCGAGUGUGGGUGGAAAGUUUUUCGGCUGGGGAUGGGCUCGCGGCCUAUCAGCUUGUUGGUGAGGUGAAGGUUCACCAAGGCGACGAUGGGUAGCCGGCCUGUGAGGGCGACCGGCCACACUGGGACUGAGACACGGCCCAGACUCCUACGUGAGGCAGCAGUGGAGAAUAUUGCACAAUGGGCGAAAGCCUGAUGCAGCGACGCCGCGUGAGGGAUGACGGCCUUCGGGUUAUAAACCUCUUUCAGCUCCGAAGAAGCGAAAGUGACGGUAGGAGCAGAAGAAGCACCGGCUAACUACGUG